GUGCAGCAGUCGAGAAUCCUUCGCAAUGCGGGAAACCGCGACGAGGGGACUCCCAGUGCCUACGCUCAGCGUAGGCUGUUCCCGAGCCUAGAAAGCUCGGGGAGUAAGGGCUGGGUAAGACGGGUGCCAGCCGCCGCGGUAAUACCCGCAGCCCGAGUGGUGGCCACUAUUAUUGGGCCUAAAGCGUCCGUAGCCGGCCCGGUAAAUGCCUGGGUAAAUCGUGAGGCCUAACCUCACGAAUUCCGGGUAGACUGCCGGGCUAGGGACCGGAGGAGGGAGAGGGGUACUCCAGGGGUAGGGGUGAAAUCCUGUAAUCCCUGGAGGACCACCGGUGGCGAAGGCGCUCUCCUAGGACGGGUCCGACGGUGAGGGACGAAAGCCAGGGGAGCGAACCGGAUUAGAUACUCCUGUAGU
rnacentral:rRNA from 1 species